rnacentral:rRNA from 1 species
GUCCACGCUGUAAACGAUGAGUGCUGGAUGUCGGGGGUAUUCACCCCCUCGGUAUCGUAGCUAACGCGUUAAGCACUCCGCCUGGGGAGUACGGCCGCAAGGUUGAAACUCAAAGAAAUUGACGGGGGCCCGCACAAGCGGUGGAGUAUGUGGUUUAAUUCGACGCAACGCGAAGAACCUUACCCAGCCUUGACUUCCGUGGAACCUGGUAGAAACACCGGGGUGCCCUCGCAAGAGGGAGCCACGAGACAGGUGCUGCAUGGCUGUCGU